AUUGAACGCUGGCGGCAGGCUUAACACAUGCAAGUCGAGCGGAGAUGAGGUGCUUGCACCUUAUCUUAGCGGCGGACGGGUGAGUAAUGCUUAGGAAUCUGCCUAUUAGUGGGGGACAACAUUCCGAAAGGUAUGCUAAUACCGCAUACGUCCUACGGGAGAAAGCAGGGGAUCUUCGGACCUUGCUCUAAUAGAUGAGCCUAGGUCGGAUUAGCUAGUUGGUGGGGUAAAGGCCUACCAAGGCGACGAUCUGUAGCGGGUCUGAGAGGAUGAUCCGCCACACUGGGACUGAGACACGGCCCAGACUCCUACGGGAGGCAGCAGUGGGGAAUAUUGGACAAUGGGGGAAACCCUGAUCCAGCCAUGCCGCGUGUGUGAAGAAGGCCUUAUGGUUGUAAAGCACUUUAAGCGAGGAGGAGGCUACUGAGACUAAUACUCUUGGAUAGUGGACGUUACUCGCAGAAUAAGCACCGGCUAACUCUGUGCCAGCCGCCGCAGUAA
rnacentral:rRNA from 1 species